UAAUAUGAGAAUUUAUUAAAAGAAUUGAGGCUUUAGGUAGGGUCUGAGUUAGAUGUAGAAGAGUUCGACCUUACAAUCAAAAUGAUUGGUGAUUAUGUCAAAAGAAACGUGAUUCCACACAACUGGUACCACCACUAAUCUAAUAACAUAUGCAGACAAUUGCUCUCUCGUAAAUUUCUUGUGAUAGCUUCCUCAAUAUUGUUCUUAUGAUCUUCUUACGCUGUCAAUGGCCUCGGCUUGGUGCUCUUGGUCAGCGGCGGAAAAUUGUUGAUCACAAUUCUUGGGCAUGUGUUGGUUGUCCCUAUAUUCCAUUCAUUUGAAAGGUGCCGCACGAGCCUCGUUGAUGAUUCGAUAUCUAAUACCCUUCCAUUGCGCGCAUCUAUUCAAAACACGAAAAUCUCCCAAAAUUCUUUGAAGAAAACAUCUAGGUUCUUGAUGUAGUCAUGGAACUUCUCUUCAUAUUGUUCUUGCAAGUACAUUGGAGUCUAAAGCUUGCAGAAUUUCUCGCCUUGUUUGUCCGUC
rnacentral:lncRNA from 1 species